AUAAUUAACUGGCAGGAGAGAUACCAUGAUCACCAAAGUGGUUCUUCCAGGACAAGGCUAUCCCAUUGCACUUUGGUCGUGCUGACACCUGCGACGUCCCCAACUGCGGGAUACUCGACUGCAAAAUUUGUGGUAGUGGGGGACUACUUUCGCAAGCCCAUU